CCCCUUUGAGGGGUUAAGGCUCCCAGUAGACGACUGGGUUGAUAGGCCGGAAAUGGAAGCACUGCAAGGUGUGGAGUUGACCGGUACUAAUAGGCCGAGGGCUUGUCCUC
rnacentral:rRNA from 1 species